AUUGAACGCUGGCGGCAGGCCUAACACAUGCAAGUCGAGCGAGCGGCGGACGGGUGCGUAAUGUAUGGGGACUGCCCGAUAGAGGGGGAUAACUACUGGAAACGGUAGCUAAUACCGCAUACUAUCGGAUAACCCUGAUGGGAUUAGCUCGUAGGUGAGGUAAUGGCUCACCUAGGCGACGAUCCCUAGCUGAUCUGAGAGGAUGAUCAGCCACACUGGGACUGAGACACGGCCCAGACUCCUACGGAGGCAGCAGUGGGGAAUAUUGGACAAGGGACGCAAGCCUGAUGGAGCCAUGCCGCGUGUAUGAAGAAGGUUCUAGGGUUGUAAAGUACUGUCAGUAGGGAGGCGGUACCGAAAGAGAAAGCACCGGCUAACUCCGUGCCAGCAGCCGCGGUAAUUC
rnacentral:rRNA from 1 species